rnacentral:rRNA from 1 species
UACGGAGGAUGCAAGCGUUAUCCGGAUUUAUUGGGCGUAAAGCGUCCGCAGGUGGUUUUCCAAGUCUGCUGUUAAAGCGCGAGGCUUAACCUCGUACAGGCAGUGGAAACUGGAUGACUAGAGUUCGGUAGGGGAGACUGGAAUUCCUGGUGUAGCGGUGAAAUGCGCAGAUAUCAGGAGGAACACCGGUGGCGAAGGCGGGUCUCUGGGCCGAUACUGACGCUGAGGAGCGAAAGCGUGGGGAGCAAACAGG